rnacentral:rRNA from 1 species
GGUCAAGUUAUUAAGGGUGCAGGGCGGAUGCCUUGGCACUAGGAGCCGAUGAAGGACGUGAUAAGCUGCGAUAAGCUUCGGGGAGUUGCACGUAAACUUUGAUCCGAAGAUUUCCGAAUGAGGAAACUCACUUAGAGUAAUGUCUAAGUAUCAUUAAGUGAAUACAUAGCUUAAUGAGGGGAACUCAGGGAACUGAAACAUCUAAGUACCUGAAGGAAGAGAAAGAAAUUCGAUUCCGUAAGUAGCGGCGAGCGAACGCGGAUUAGCCCAAACCAAU